GACAGAGGGUGCAAACGUUGUUCGGAAUUACUGGGCGUAAAGCGCGUGUAGGCUGUCUCAUAAGUCGGGUGUGAAAGCCCUGGGCUCAACCUAGGAAGUGCACUCGAAACUGCGAGACUUGAGUCCUGGAGAGGAAGGCGGAAUUCUCGGUGUAGAGGUGAAAUUCGUAGAUAUCGAGAGGAACACCGGUGGCGAAGGCGGCCUUCUGGACAGUGACUGACGCUGAGACGCGAAAGCGUGGGGAGCAAACAGG
rnacentral:rRNA from 1 species